rnacentral:lncRNA from 1 species
AUAUGUUUUGUUUUCCAGGGAGUGUUGACAUUCAGGGAUGUGGCUGUAGAAUUCUCCCCAGAAGAGUGGGAAUGCCUGGACUCUGCUCAGCAGCGUUUGUAUAGGGAUGUGAUGUUAGAGAACUAUGGAAACCUGGUCUCCUUGGGUCUUGCUAUCUUUAAGCCAGACUUGAUGACCUGUCUGGAGCAAAGAAAAGAGCCUUGGAAAGUGAAGAGACAGGAGGCAGUAGCCAAACACCCAGGUAGGUGGGAGUGAAUGAAGCAGAUGACACAAAUGACGGAUCCCAAUGUCAAGGAGGAAGCCAGACCUUUAAACAUGCUUCCAGAAGCUCUGCUCCAGUGGAAAUGGUUUCUGAGAAACCUUCAUUUCUUUCUCUUGCUUUAACAUAGGGACAUUUUUUGUCCCAUUCUUGUGAAUUUUCCAAGCACUGUACUUCCCCUUCA